rnacentral:rRNA from 1 species
UCAUACGGGAGGCAGCAAUGGGGAAUAUUGGACAAUGGGCUCACGCCCGAUCCAGCAAUAUCGCGUGGGUGAAGAAGGGCACAGUCGCUUGUCAAGCUCUUUCGUCGAGUUUCGAUCAUGACAGGACUCGAGGAAGAAGCCCCGGCUAACUCCGUGCCAGCAGCCGCGGUAAUACGGGGGGGGCAAGUGUUAUUCGGAAUGACUGGGCGUAAAGGGCACGUAGGCGGUGAAAAGGGUGGAAAGUGAAAGUCGCCAAAACACUGGCGGGGUGCUUUCUUGACCAUUUCACUUGAGUGAGAUAGGGGAGAGUGGAAUUUCGUGUGGAGGGAUCAAAUCCUAAGAUAUACGAAGGAACGCCAACCGCGAAGGCAGCUCUCUGGGUCCCCACUGACGCUGAGGUGCGAAAGCAUGGGGAGCAAACAGGAUCAGAUACCCUGGUAGUCCAUGCCGUAAGCGAUGAGUGUUCGUCCUUGGUCUGCCUGCCUACUAGGUAGGAUUAGGAUCAGGGGCCCAGCUAACGCGUGAAACACUCCGCCUGGGGAGUACGGUCGCAAGACUGAAACUCAAAGGAAUUGACGG